GACCCGUUACCGGCGCUAGGAUCCAAAUCGGCUUAAGGCCGCCGGGACCCGUAGCAAGCCUACAUACCUCCUGUAAACCUGUGGAAUCCCAUACAUAACAACAUAUACAUGAUCUGUAAAAAAAAAUUUUCUUUUCUCUUAUCCAAGCAAAACCUGUGCAUGCACAAAAUCAUACAUAAACCCCACACUGGAGUCCUCAUCAAAUACUCCAAUGGGGUAUCAUCAUCAUACAUAUCAGCUUGGAUAAUCAUGGUCAUUAACAUCAUUACUCAUUAAACACUCUGUACAUAAUGGGGAUUCACN
rnacentral:lncRNA from 1 species